CCUACGGGGUGCAGCAGUGGGGAAUAUUGGACAAUGGGCGAAAGCCUGAUCCAGCCAUGCCGCGUGUGUGAAGAAGGCCUUCGGGUUGUAAAGCACUUUCAGUGGGGAAGAAAGCCUUGGGGCUAAUACCCUCGAGGAAGGACAUCACCCACAGAAGAAGCACCGGCUAACUCCGUGCCAGCAGCCGCGGUAAUACGGAGGGUGCGAGCGUUAAUCGGAAUUACUGGGCGUAAAGCGCGCGUAGGCGGUCUGAUAAGCCGGUUGUGAAAGCCCCGGGCUCAACCUGGGAACGGCAUCCGGAACUGUCAGGCUAGAGUGCAGGAGAGGAAGGUAGAAUUCCCGGUGUAGCGGUGAAAUGCGUAGAGAUCGGGAGGAAUACCAGUGGCGAAGGCGGCCUUCUGGACUGACACUGACGCUGAGGUGCGAAAGCGUGGGUAGCAAACAGGAUUAGAUACCCCAUAGUC
rnacentral:rRNA from 1 species